GAAAACUGAAUAAAAUAACCAGAGAAGAAAACAAAAUCAAUUCAUUAGAGUGCUUAAAUUGAACUCAAUUGAGACGAUUUAUCGUUUAUUAGAUUUGACCAACUUGUUGAAGAUAUUCCAGCAACAUGGCAAACAGUUGGCCAGCAGAGUUUUUGUGCAUUUUGGCCAAUUUACCAAUAGCAAAAUAAUUAAAGCAAUUAAAAUUUCAUUUGCAAGUUUUUCUGUUGCACAUUUCCGGUUACACCCAAUGUCAUUUGCAGCUGGCCGCAGCAGAAGUAUCUAAAGAGUUGUGUCGACUGCUUGGCCAAAGGAACCAAAGCGCUUUAAUUUGAGAGUUUACACACUUGGCAUGCCUGGCGGAGUUUGGGAAUGGGUUCGGGCUCUGGCA